UUCUUAUAUUUGUUUGUAGGACGGCAAGCAUGCGGCUUCCUUAACAAUUGCAGAGAAAUAUGUGGAGGCCUUCCAGAAUCUAGCGAAAACCAGUAACACACUAAUACUACCGAACAAUGCAGCUGAUGUGACAAACGUUGUUUCACAGGCAUUUGCAAUCUACAGAACGCUAGUCAAUAAGCAGGAACAGGAAAGCCAGGCCUCAAUAAUUGCAGAGAAUGUUAGCGAGCAGACUCCAAUCAGAAUCGCCGAUAUUUGCACUGAAAAAUCAGAAACCAAGGAGGAUUCUUUCAAAUCGUCGCCUCCCACUUUGUAAUAUUAUUUCAUAGUUUGUAAGCCAUAAAAAUGAGGGAAUGAUUGUGUUAAAACGAAAUUAAAAUAUGUCAGAUUCAUAUUCAUCUCACUCGUAUUCAUAAUUAUUUUAUUAUAUUAUUGCCAAAAUGUUACUCCAACCAAUUAAACUGUUAUUCCAAAA